rnacentral:tRNA from 1 species
GGGGAUGUAGCUCAGUGGUAGAGCGCUUGCCUAGCAAGCUCAAGGCCCUGGCUUCGUCCUCA